rnacentral:rRNA from 1 species
AACGAACGCUGGCGGCAGGCCUAACACAUGCAAGUCGAGCGGACAUCUUCGGCUGUUAGCGGCGGACGGGUGAGUAACGCGGGGGAACGUGCCCUUUGCUUCGGAAUAGCCUCGGGAAACGGGGAGUAAUACCGGAUGUACCCUUUGGGGGACAGCUUUAUCGGCAAAGGAUCGGCCCGCGUUGGAUUAGGUAGUUGGUGGGGUAAUGGCCUACCAAGCCGACGAUCCAUAGCUGGUUUGAGAGGAUGAUCAGCCACACCGGGACUGGGACACGGCCCGGACUCUUACGGGAUGCAGCAGUGGGUAAUCUUAGACAGUGGGGUGUGUCCUGAUCUAGCCCUGCCUCGUGAGCGAUGAAGGUCUUAGGGUUGUAAAGCUCUUUCACCGGGGAAGAUAAUGACGUUACCCGGAGAAGAAGCCCCGGCUAACUCCGUG